rnacentral:rRNA from 1 species
AUUGAACGCUGGCGGCAUGCCUUACACAUGCAAGUCGAACGGCAGCACGGGAGCAAUCCUGGUGGCGAGUGGCGAACGGGUGAGUAAAGUAUCGGAACGUGCCCAGUCGUGGGGGAUAACGUAGCGAAAGUUACGCUAAUACCGCAUACGAUCUAUGGAUGAAAGCGGGGGAUCGCAAGACCUCGCGCGAUUGGAGCGGCCGAUAUCAGAUUAGGUAGUUGGUGGGGUAAAGGCUCACCAAGCCGACGAUCUGUAGCUGGUCUGAGAGGACGAACAGCCACACUGAGACUGAGACACGGCCGAGACUCCUACGGGCGGCAGCAGUGGGGAAUUUGGGACAAUGGGCGAAAGCCUGAUCCAGCCAUGCCGCGUGCAGGAUGAAGGCCUUCGGGUUGUAAACUGCUUUUGUACGGAACGAAAAGGUUUGGCCUAAUAAGCUGAGCUCAUGACGGUACCGUAAGAAUAAGCACCGGCUAACUACGUGCCAGCCGCCGCGGUAA